GAGGCUAACACAUGCAAGUCGAACGAUGAACCGCUUUCGGGCGGGGAUUAGUGGCGAACGGGUGAGUAACACGUGGGCAAUCUGCCCUGCACUCUGGGACAAGCCCUGGAAACGGGGUCUAAUACCGGAUAUGACUGUCCAUCGCAUGGUGGAUGGUGUAAAGCUCCGGCGGUGCAGGAUGAGCCCGCGGCCUAUCAGCUUGUUGGUGAGGUAGUGGCUCACCAAGGCGACGACGGGUAGCCGGCCUGAGAGGGCGACCGGCCACACUGGGACUGAGACACGGCCCAGACUCCUACGGGAGGCAGCAGUGGGGAAUAUUGCACAAUGGGCGAAAGCCUGAUGCAGCGACGCCGCGUGAGGGAUGACGGCCUUCGGGUUGUAAACCUCUUUCAGCAGGGAAGAAGCGAAAGUGACGGUACCUGCAGAAGAAGCGCCGGCUAACUACGUGCCAGCAGCCGCGGUAAUACGUAGGGCGCAAGCGUUGUCCGGAAUUAUUGGGCGUAAAGAGCUCGUAGGCGGCUUGUCACGUCGGUUGUGAAAGCCCGGGGCUUAACCCCGGGUCUGCAGUCGAUACGGGCAGGCUAGAGUUCGGUAGGGGAGAUCGGAAUUCCUGGUGUAGCGGUGAAAUGCGCAGAUAUCAGGAGGAACACCGGUGGCGAAGGCGGAUCUCUGGGCCGAUACUGACGCUGAGGAGCGAAA
rnacentral:rRNA from 1 species